rnacentral:lncRNA from 1 species
ACUGAGCCUGACUCCCCAUCUCCCGUGCUCCAGGGCGAGGAGUCCUCAGAGAGGGAGAGCCUGCCAGAGUCCUUGGAACUGAGCUCCCCUAGGUCCCCCGAGACUGACUGGGGGCGGCCUCCUGGAGGCGACAAAGACCUCGCCAGCCCUCACUUAGGUCUUGGGUCUCCGAGGGUCUCCCGGGCUUCCAGCCCUGAGGGUCGCCACCUCCCUUCCCCACAGCUAGGAACCAAGGCCCCGGUGGCCCGGCCCCGGAUGAGUGCCCAGGAGCAGCUGGAGCGGAUGCGCAGAAACCAGGAAUGUGGACGGCCCUUCCCUCGCCCGACCUCCCCCCGGCUUCUCACCCUGGGAAGGACACUGUCCCCAGCCAGACGCCAGCCUGACGUGGAGCAAAGGUCCAAGGAACACCACCCCUUACUUGCCGACUUCCGAAGGUCACCGGGAGCGGGUUCUCAGCCUCUCCCAAGCCCUGGCUACUGAGGCGUCGCAGUGGCACAGAAUGAUGACAGGUGGAAAUUUGGACUCCCAGGGAGACCCUCUUCCCGGUGUGCCGCUGCCUCCUUCGGACCCCACGCGCCAGGAGACCCCUCCCCCCAGAUCUCCCCCGGUGGCUAAUUCGGGUUCCACGGGGUUCUCUCGCCGAGGGAGUGGGCGUGGAGGAGGUCCCACCCCCUGGGGGCCCGCGUGGGAUGCCGGGAUCGCCCCUCCGGUCCUGCCACAAGACGAGGGGGCAUGGCCUCUGCGAGUCACUCUGCUACAAUCCAGCUUCUAAUCCGCCCAAAAGCGGCAGCCAAUCGGAGCGCGA